GGGAUAGCUCAGUUAGGAGAGCAUGAUAGACUUAAUCUCAGGGUUAUGGGUUCGAGCUCCACUUUGGGCCA